AUUGAACGCUGGCGGCAGGCCUAACACAUGCAAGUCGAACGAGUGGCGGACGGGGGAGUAAUGUCUGGGAAAAUGCCUGAUGGAGGGGGAUAACUACUGGAAAAGGUAGCUAAUACCGUAUACCAUCAGAUGUGCCCAGAUGGGAGUAUCUAGUUGGUGGGGUAACGGCACACCAAGGCGACGAUCCCUAGCUGGUCUGCGAGGAUGACCAGCCACACUGGAACUGAGACACGGUCCAGACUCCUACGGGAGGCAGCAGUGGGGAAUAUUGCACAAUGGGCGCAAGCCUGAUGCAGCCAUGCCGCGUGUAUGAAGAAGGCCUUCGGGUUGUAAAGUACUUUCAGCCGGGAGGCGUUACCCGCAGAAGAAGCACCGGCUAACUCCGUGCCAGCAGCCGCGGUAAUAC
rnacentral:rRNA from 1 species